AGCCUGAUGCAGCGACGCCGCGUGGGGGAUGAAGGCCUUCGGGUUGUAAACCCCUUUCAGCAGGGAAGAAGCGAGAGUGACGGUACCUGCAGAAGAAGCGCCGGCUAACUACGUGCCAGCAGCCGCGGUAAUACGUAGGGCGCAAGCGUUGUCCGGAAUUAUUGGGCGUAAAGAGCUCGUAGGCGGUUUGUCGCGUCUGCUGUGAAAACCCGAGGCUCAACCUCGGGCCUGCAGUGGGUACGGGCAGACUAGAGUGCGGUAGGGGAGACUGGAAUUCCUGGUGUAGCGGUGGAAUGCGCAGAUAUCAGGAGGAACACCGAUGGCGAAGGCAGGUCUCUGGGCCGCAACUGACGCUGAGGAGCGAAAGCAUGGGGAGCGAACAGGAUUAGAUACCCUGGUAGUCCAUGCCGUAAACGUU
rnacentral:rRNA from 1 species